AUAGCUCAAGUACCCCAAAAGAAAUUUGAGUGUUGAUUUCGAAAAGGUUGGGAGUUUAGUAUUCAAAUGAUCUUGAGAGGUACCUGGGCUUACCUAACAUGGUGGGGAGACGGAAGAAAGUAGCAUUUCAGCUCUUGAAAGAUUGGUUCAAGAAGAUCGAUGGAUGGAAUUUGAAGUUCCUGUCUCAAAGGGGUAAGGAAGUUUUUAUAAAGUUGGUAUUGCAAACCAAUCCACCUUAUGGCAUGUUUCUUACUACUCAAAACUUUAUGUAGGGAAUUAAAUAGUAUCAUGGCACGGUUCUGAUGGCAAAAGGGACAGGAAAAAAAGGAAUACAUUGGUGUGAAUGGUCUCGACUAUGUGAGUUGAAAGAAGAUGGAGGUAUGGGUUUUCACAGCUUUGAGAAAUUCAAUAUUGCCCUAUUGGCAAAACAAGGAUGGCGGUUGAUAAAUCGUCUUGAUUCUUUAUUAACUUGCGUGUUAAAAGCAAAAUAUUUUCCUGAUUCUGAUUUUUUAAACGCAUGUUUAGGGAACCAACCAUCCUAUUCGUGGAAGAGUAUAUGGGUAACAAGAGGUCUUUUGCAAGAUGGUUUUGGAUGGAAGGUUGGUUCGGGGGACAAUAUUUUAAUUUCCGAGCAUGCUUAGAUUCCAGCUUCAGUUGAAUAUCGAUUAUGUGAUAACAUGCAAAGUAAUGAUGUGUCUUUUGUUGCAGAUUUGAUUGAUAAAACUAGCAGAGAAUGGAAAGGGGGAGUAAUUUUCAAUACCUUCUCGGAAAGAGAUGCGGGCAGAAUAUUACAGAUUCCCUUGGAAAAGGAGCGUCAUGGCGACCUAGUGGUGUGGCAAGGCGAACCCGUUGGGUGAAUUCUUUAUCCGCAGUGUUUAUAAACUAUUACAAGUAAGCAACUUUGGCCCUAAUUUUAAUGCAUUACAGACCGCUACUGAAGCUUUCUAUAAGAAGCUGUGGAACUUACAGCUACCAGCUAAAGUGAAAAUUACAAUCUAGAAAAUUGCAAGAAAAUUUAUUCCUAUUUUCCCAAAUUUGAGACAAAGAAAAUUGGUGGUGAAUAUAGGAUGUCCUCGGUGUGGGGGAGAAUUGGAGUCUGUGGACCAUGUCUUUAAAAAGUGUCCUACAUCAAUAGAAGUCUGGACCUGUUUAGGAGUAAUCUAGGUUUUGAAUAGGCCAGAUUUGGAGCACUUGAAUUGGCCUACUUGAGUUUUUGCGGAAAGCUCUCAACAUCAGAGUCGAAUGUUUGGAUGUGCUCUAUGGACUCUUUGGUCUGAAAGAAAUAAAACAGUACAUCAGAGAAAGCAAAAGUCUGGAAUGGAUAUCUCAGAUACUAUUGGCUGGUAUUUGAGGGAACUAGAUGAUACGGAGGUUAGGCAGUAUAUUAGGAGUAGAACGAAGGCCAAAUAGAGACCCCCAACUGGAUCGAUUGUUAAAAUCAAUUUUGAUGGUGCCUUUGAGAAAGAGAGCUUUAAAUCGUGCUCUGGCAUAGUAGCAAGAAACGCCCAUGGUGAGGUUCUGGUUUCACGAGCAGUUUUUCACCCGAAUGCUGGCUCGCCUUUUGCUGCGGAAGCCAUUGCAUGCUUAUGGACAGUGAAAACAAGUACAAAAAUAGGGUGGUCAAAGGUAAUAAUAGAAGGUAAUGCAUUAACUAUCAUUAAGAAAUGUCAAUCAGAUCAAAUAGAUAGAUCAGAGAUUGGGGUUCAUAUCAGAGAUAUUCAUCAGAUUUCACAACAGUUUGGAUGGAUUCGAUUCAAACACACAAACAAUGUAGCAAAUCAACUAGCCCAUGUUUUAGCUAAUAUGAGUCUAAAAAGAGAGGAACCAACUUACAUGUAUGGAGGAGUCCCCUACUUCACCGUGCGGAGAAUGGAGGCGGAGAGACAGCGUGAACCAGACUGAAAUGGGGUGUGCAGGGAAUUAAAGGGACGAGGAACGUCAGAUUGGAAAUGGGGUUUGGUUCCUUGGAAGCCGAAACCGUCUACUUUUUGAAAAGUGUUGAUUUGAAAGCGCGGUUUCUGCAUUAAAUGUGGUUGGGUAGGAAAAUCUUAUCCUUUGUUUUUUUUUCAAAUCUAUUUUCUUUUCUGGCUAUGGGUUUGGUGUUAGUCUUAUUAUUUUCAUAGUAGGCCCGUCGAUCUAUCUGUUAGGCUAUUUUUUGGUUGUAUUGUUUUAAGCAAUUAGUAAAUAAAACCCAGCUUGUUUGAUUUCAAAAGAAAAGAAAUAUGCAGGGAAAACCAAACCAACACAAGGCUUAAACUAGUAAAAACUUUUGGUCUAUCUUCACUGAUGUUAUUACAGGAAAAGAAAAACGUUUUAGCAUGGUAAUGCCAG
rnacentral:lncRNA from 1 species